rnacentral:rRNA from 1 species
GAUGAACGCUGGCGGCGUGCCUAAUACAUGCAAGUCGAGCGAACGGACGAGAAGCUUGCUUCUCUGAUGUUAGCGGCGGACGGGUGAGUAACACGUGGAUAACCUACCUAUAAGACUGGGAUAACUUCGGGAAGCCGGAGCUAAUACCGGAUGAUAUUUUGAACCGCAUGGUUCAAAAGUGAAAGACGGUCUUGCUGUCACUUAUAGAUGGAUCCGCGCUGCAUUAGCUAGUUGGUAAGGUAACGGCUUACCAAGGCAACGAUGCAUAGCCGACCUGAGAGGGUGAUCGGCCACACUGGAACUGAGACACGGUCCAGACUCCUACGGGAGGCAGCAGUAGGGAAUCUUCCGCAAUGGGCGAAAGCCUGACGGAGCAACGCCGCGUGAGUGAUGAAGGUCUUCGGAUCGUAAAACUCUGUUAUUAGGGAAGAACAUAUGUGUAAGUAACUGUGCACAUCUUGGCGGUACCUAAUCAGAAAGCCACGGCUAACUACGUG